AUACGUAGGUGGCAAGCGUUGUCCGGAAUUAUUGGGCGUAAAGCGCAUGUAGGCGGUAAUUUAAGUCUGUCGUGAAACUGCGGGGCUCAGCCCCGUAUGGCGAUGGAAACUGGGUUACUUGAGUGCAGGAGAGGAAAGGGGAACUCCCAGUGUAGCGGUGAAAUGCGUAGAUAUUGGGAAGAACACCGGUGGCGAAGGCGCCUUUCUGGACUGUGUCUGACGCUGAGAUGCGAAAGCCAGGGUAGCGAACGGGAUUAGAUACCCCGGUAGUCCUGGCCGUAAACGAUGGGUACUAGGUGUGGGAGGUAUCGACCCCUUCCGUGCCGGGGUUAACGCAAUAAGUACCCCGCCUGGGGAGUACGGCCGCAAGGCUUAAACUCAAAGGAAUUGACGGGG
rnacentral:rRNA from 1 species